UACAGAGGUCUCGAGCGUUUGUUCGGAUUCAUUGGGCGUAAAGGGCGCGUAGGCUGCGGGGCAAGUCGGGUGUGAAAUCUCAGAGCUCAACUCUGAAACUGCACUCGAUACUGCUUUGCUUGAGGACUGGAGAGGAGAUUGGAAUUCACGGUGUAGCAGUGAAAUGCGUAGAUAUCGUGAGGAAGACCAGUGGCGAAGGCGGAUCUCUGGACAGUUCCUGACGCUGAGGCGCGAAGGCCAGGGGAGCAAACGGG
rnacentral:rRNA from 1 species